ACGAACGCUGGCGGCGUGCUUAACACAUGCAAGUCGAACGGAAAGGCCCCUUUGGGGGUACUCGUGUGGCGAACGGGUGAGUAACACGUGAGUAACCUGCCCUUGACUUCGGGUUAACUUCAGGCAACUGGGGCUAAUACCGGAUAGGAAUCCUUGCUGCAUGGUGGGGGUUGGAAAGCUUCGGCGGUUUUGGAUGGACUCGCGGCUUAUCAGCUUGUUGGUGGGGUAGUGGCUUACCAAGGCUUUGACGGGUAGCCGGCCUGAGAGGGCGACCGGCCACAUUGGGGCUGAGGUGCGGCCCAGGCUCCUACGGGAGGCAACAGUGGGGAAUAUUGCACAAUGGGCGGAAGGCUGGUGCAGCAACGCCGCGGGCGGGAUGACGGCCUUCGGGUUGUAAACCGCUUUCAGCAGGGGCGAAGCUUGUGGUGACGGUACCUGCAGAAGAAGCACCGGCUAACUACGUG
rnacentral:rRNA from 1 species